CAGUCGCCGCGGGAAUACAGAGGGUGCUAGCGUUAAUCGGAUUUACUGGGCGUAAAGCGUGCGUAGGCGGCUAAUUGAGUCGGAUGUGAAAUCCCCGAGCUUAACUUGGGAAUUGCAUUCGAUACUGGUUAGCUAGAGUGUGGGAGAGGAUGGUAGAAUUCCAGGUGUAGCGGUGAAAUGCGUAGAGAUCUGGAGGAAUACCGAUGGCGAAGGCAGCCAUCUGGCCUAACACUGACGCUGAGGUACGAAAGCAUGGGGAGCAAACAGGAUUAGAUACCCCCGUAGUCCCUGUCUCUUAUAC
rnacentral:rRNA from 1 species